GUUUCCUGCAAUUGUCAGCCAGAAUUCAAGCUUAUAUUGGAAUAUAAAGUCUACACACCCGAAUUACUCUGUUUGAAACAAUGAAUAAUUCAAAGAUAAUAAAUAUAUUAUCUUUCCAUGAGAUGGGCACAGAAUACAUGUUGGUACCAUACUGCUAUCUUCAACAUACAACUCUGAACUUCACUUAAUAUUUGGACAGAGAAGAAUGAUAGGACAGUAGGAAUACUUAUUUUUUCUCUCAAGACACCAUGUGUGAUUUACAGAGGCUUUGCUUUGCUCCUUUGAGUUUUCUCUGCUUACACUGCCAGUGAUAAACAUGGCACAACAUCCAUUCUGCAGCCCGUGGAAAAAGGAUUAAUUUCAACUUUCAGGUCUUAUGAAGAAAUACACUUCAUAAGGCUAUACCUACCAUAAAUCAUGAUUCCUCUGAUGGAUCUGGGUAAAGUCCAUUGAAAGCCUUCUAGAAAGUACUCAUCAUUCUAGAUGUUACUAAGAAAAUUUGUGAUUCAUGAGAAGAGGUCAGAAUAUCAACAUUAGCAAGAGUUUUGAGAAGUUAUUCCAACCCUCAUAGACAACUUUGAGGGGUUCAAGACUUCAGUGGAAGAAGUAACUCUGAAGAUGUGACAGAAACAGCAAGAGAACUAGAGUUAGAAGUAGAGCCUGAAGAUGGGACUGAAUUGCACAAUCUCAUGAUCAAACUUUAAUGGAUGAGGAAUUGUUUCCUAUGGAUGGACGCAUAAUGUAGUUUCUUGAGAUGGAAUCUACUCCUGGUGAAGAUUUGGUGAAGAUUGUUGAAAUGACAACAAAGGAUUUAGAAUAUUACAUCAACUAAGUUGAUGGAGCAGCAGCAGGGUUGGAGAGAGUGACAUCAAUUUGAAAGAAAUUCUGCUGUGGGUAAAAUUCUAUCAAACGGCACUGCAUGCUACAGAGAAAUCAUUCAUGAAAGGACAAGUCAUUUGUUGUGGUAAACUUCAUUGUUGUCUUAUUUUAAGAAAUUGCCACAGCUACCCACCUACCCCAACCCCAGCCUUUAGCAACUACCACCCUAAUCAGUCAGCAACCAUCAACAUCAUGGCAAGA